GCAAGCGUUAUCCGGAUUCACUGGGCGUAAAGUGUCGUGUAGGCGGUCUACCGCAUCAUACCUGAAAGCCCGAGGCUUAACCUCGGCGUUGGGUAUGAGAUGGGUAGACUCGAGGGAGGUAGAGGAAAGGGGAACUGACGGUGGAGCAGUGAAAUGCGUUGAUAUCGUCAGGAACACCAAAGGCGAAGGCACCUUUCUGGACCUCUCCUAACGCUGAGACACGAAAGCUAGGGGGGCGAAGCAGAUUAGAGACCUGCGUAGUCCUAGCCCUAAACGCAUGUCUGCUAGAUGUCCCGCGCAAGUGGGGUGUCGUAAGCUAACGCGUUAAGCAGACCGCCUGGGGAGUUACGAUCGCAAGAUUAAAACUCAAAGGAAUUGACGGGGACCCCCACAACCGGUGGAGCUUGUGGUUCAAUUCCGAGACAAAGCGAAAGAACUUACCAGGCUUGACAUUUUACCGUUUUACCCCCUUAAAACAUUGGCUAUCCGCCAGGAUUGUUACACACUGCUGCAUGGUUUC
rnacentral:rRNA from 1 species